ACAUCUUUCUUGAUUUGCUCUUUCUUUCAUAUCUUCAAUUUAUACUUAGAUCUCAUCUAAUUCCUCUAAAAUUUAAAUGUCCAAUUUCUCUCCCUUUUAUGGUUCAUUCCCUGGUCAUGCAUCCCCUCUUACAGUCCCUAUAAGCUGGAAGUUCAUCAAUAAUCAUAUUCCCCUUUCCUUGCCAAGCAGAUUUUCCAGCUGGAAGCUGUCAGGUAGGUAUUGCUAGGAACUCAAAGGUAAGUCUAGUCUAUUUAUCACAGCAUCUCCCCAAAAUUUAUACAUUUCUUCUUCUUCUGAGACUAUCUAUCUUUGCUGCUUUCAUACUUAAUAUUACAAAGCUAAGUUUAUAAUAUAUACAAGGUUUUAAACUAUAUAUUUUAACAAGUUAUUUUGGAAUCAAGAUAUAAACUAGUUUCAGCAUAUAAAAAUGCAGAAAAAUUUCUUUGUGGGGGCAUGGUUGGAUUUAAUUAAUCUAUAAAUUCAUUGAAAUAAGUUAGCCAAUCUACAACGAAUCAUAUACAAAUGCUAACGAAUGAAAAAGCAGGUCACAAAUUUUUCUUUCUCAUUCAUUCACAUUCAAAAGAUAUUUAUUGAGUGUCUAUUACAUGCCAGACACUGUCCUAGACACAAGGGAUACGAUGUGAACAAGACAAAUAACAUCAUCUUAGAGUGGACAAACAGAAAAUAAACCAGACGGAAGUGAGUUCUAUAAAGAAAACACAACAUGGCAAUCUGAUGGAGAGAUAUAAGAAGUGAAUGACGCAGCUACUUUAAAUAGAGUGCAGUGAAUUGAAAUUAAGAAAACAUACGGACAAAGAACAAAGCUAAAAUAAGUAUUUUCAUCUUCCAACAUGAAAUCAGCAGCUAUGAGAAUUUUUGAAAACUGCAUUUGCACUCGAAACUCUAGUGGCUUCAGAGUUAAAGAAAGCAUGCUGAGAGGUCUAUCAAUGCAAAGGGUCAUCUAUGAAAUCUCCACCUAGAUCUAAGGACCACUGGGCAAACAGCAUGGUGCUAAAUAUAACCAGCUAUUUUCCCCAUGAAGCAUAUCAGGACUCCAAAAAUCUCUGGCAUCCACUCUUUCCUGACAUAGAUCAUGUGGCUUAGGGGAAAACUAACAUCACACACAGCUUCAAG